UAUCAAAUUUUGGCCAUCAGGCCAUUUUUAUUAAAGAAAUGCCCAUUGGGCUAUGUUCAAAAGAUGGACCAAAAUUGACCCAACAAGAAUAAAAUAAAAACAAAGCAAAUAAAUUCUAUAUCUAAAAGCACUAAAGUGAAAAUUGAAAUGACUCUUGGAACUCUCCAGAACUCCAUGGUCAGCCAUUUCCUCACCGAUUUUUGUCCUGGGUCCUGAUUUCCUUGUGUUGCUGGAUUGCUAUUAUUUGGUGAUUUUUGGGGGGUGAGCACAACUUGUGGGCUGCCUGAAUCUGCAAGCACCUUUUCAAUUAUAUGCAAAUCGUCUUUUGUAUCCUCACUAACUAUUGUUUCUUCUGUAUUCUGUUGCUUUUCUUGUAUUAUGUCUUCUUCUUGUAUCUUUUGUUUCCCCAUAUUGUCGGUAUUCUGGGUUACUUCAUCUUCUAUAUUUUUGCUACUCUGAUUAUUGUUAUCUUCACUUUGACUGUUGGCUA